GGUAGCAUUUAUUARAUUGAAACCAAUUCAGCUUCGGCUGGUGUUGUGUUGAGUCAUAAUAACUGUGCGGAUCGCAUUCUUUGCGAUAAAUCAAAUGAGUUUCUGCCCUAUCAGCUUUGGAUGGUAGGAUAUGGGCCUACCAUGGCGUUAACGGGUAACGGGGAAUUAGGGUUUGAUUCCGGAGAGGGAGCCUGAGAAACGGCUACCACAUCCAAGGAAGGCAGCAGGCGCGUAAAUUACCCAAUCCUAAUUCAGGGAGGUAGUGACAAUAAAUAACAAUGCCGGGCUUUAUAAGUCUGGCAAUUGGAAUGAGAACAAUUUAAAUCCCUUAACGAGGAUCAAUUGGAGGGCAAGUCUGGUGCCAGCAGCCGCGGUAAUUCCAGCUCCAAUAGCGUAUAUUAAAGUUGUUGCAGUUAAAAAGCUCGUAGUUGGAUUUCUGAAUUGAGUAUCCGGUCCGCUUGUCUCUGACGAGUGUGUACUUGUGGAUAUUUGGUUCAUUUUUUGUGAGGAAAUUUAUCUGUCAUUAAGUUGAUGGAUUUAUAGACUUGCAUCGUUUACUGUGAAAAAAUUAGAGUG
rnacentral:rRNA from 1 species